rnacentral:rRNA from 1 species
UACGUAGGGGGCAAGCGUUGUCCGGAUUCAUUGGGCGUAAAGGGCGCGUAGGCGGGAUGGCAAGUCGGUCGUGAAAUCUCUCGGCUCAACCGAGAAACGUCGGCCGAUACUGCCGUUCUUGAGGGAUGCAGAGGAGACUGGAAUUCCCGGUGUAGCGGUGAAAUGUGUAGAGAUCGGGAGGAACACCGGUGGCGAAGGCGGGUCUCUGGGCAUUUCCUGACGCUGAGGCGCGAAAGCGUGGGGAGCAAACGGG